CACUCUUGUUUCCCCUUCAAAUCACGCAUAAAUCUUUCGCCUUUUACUAAAGAUUGUUCCGUGGAUGGCAGAACAAUUGAAAUGAGUCUGUAAGACAAUUUUUCGUCGUUCGAUGAAAACA